CGGGGCGUCCCUGAAGACCGGCUGUGGGGACAGCAAGGACCGCAGAGGGGGGCCAGAGGGGGCCCAUCCUGGGGAGGAGGGGCAGAGGAGCCUGAGGCAGGGCAAUAAGGCCCGCCAACACCCAGGCUCAGAGGACAUCCCCCCGUACAGUCGCCCUCGUUCCCCUCGGCAACAGGCUCCUGCAGCUCCCUGCCCUCCCGCAGCACCGGGGGCCGGAGGAGAGGGAGGGCGCCCCGGGGCCCGCUGGAACCCCCCCAACACUCUGGAGGACCCCCACCCCGAGGAGAGAGAGGAGGAGCUGCAGGAGAGCUGAAGGCCGGGCCAGAGAUCAUGGCAACAAGCUGGACCCAGCUGGACGAGCUCACCGGGGGAACCAUCUUAACGUCACCUUACAGGAGGGAGGCUGGCCACCAACUGACACGCCUCAAAAUGGCCGACCAGAACACCAGUCUGACCUCAUUUCCUGUUUUUAUAAACAUCUGAACACCAGACCUGGAGGACUAAACCACCUUGUCUGAAAAGCAGGCGGCCUCACCUCCCAAGAAGAGAAGAAUAAAAAUAAUAAAAAAGAUAUUGACAUUAGAAUGUCACAGCACCAUAAAGCA